AUGCAAUCUAGAUCACUAGCUCUGCAUGAUGUUGCAGAAGCAAGGGGAACAGGUUUGCUAAAAUAAGCAUGGUCAUAGAACUGUAUUAGCCCAAUAAAUAAAAUUAUUGCGGCUGUUACUUCCAUACCAUGAUAAGG
ensembl:snoRNA SNORA66 Small nucleolar RNA SNORA66